AGCAGCAUGGCGCAGUUGGAAGCGCGCAGGGCCCAUAUAUAUUCGUGAUCAGAAUCUGAAUCUGAUGUACAUAGGUGUUACCCUGAGGUCACUUGAUCGAAACAAGUUGCUGCUA